UAGGAUUUCAGAGCUGCUUUCUGUUCAGAGAAAAAAUAUUUCUGAUGUGCUAAACAAACCUUUGGAGGUAAAUUAGCAGCAGAAUGUAUUUAGCCAUUGCUGUCCCUCACCUUCAGACAAGU
rnacentral:snoRNA from 1 species